CUUCAAUCGAACCAAUUCUGCUGAAAGAAUCUCCACCUUUUCAGCAUGGGUUUCAGCAAUCUUGGUCGCAUCAUCAGCAUGACUCAACGCUUGAUUCUUUGCAUCACAAGUAGAUGCAAGUUCCUC